GGGGAUUUAGCUCAGUGGUAGAGCGCUUGUCUAGCAAGCACAAGGCCCUGGGUUCAGUCCCCA
rnacentral:tRNA from 1 species